CGGAGAGAAACUCCGUCUUAAAAAAAAAAAAAAAAAAAAAAAAAGAGAACAGUAGAAACAAAAAUAUAUUUUUUUGUUUACUUCCCAGAAAUUGCAAUUCCAUUUUCCUCUCUGGUGGUUAAGUUGAAGCUGAUCAGUGGGAGUCCUCUGACAGUGGAAUUGAGUUAAGGCUCGACUGCAGCUUUAAUUAGAUUAUGUACACCUAAGCGGAACUCUCCCAGAUGUUAGAGGAGCAGUAAAGAGGUCAACGUGGCUGGAGCAGAAUGAGCGAAAAGAGGAAGAAGAGAUGAAGUCGGAGAGAAAUUGAGCCCUCAAUCCUGUGAGGAAAUGGAGAAAUGUGAACCCAAACCCACAAAGGAAGCCUAGAAGAAAGCCCCAGGCCUUC